UAGCUGGGACCUAAACUUGCUGUCUUUAUUCCCACAGGAGUUGGACCCUUUGCGGGACCGCAACCUGGAGUCCCACUGGGGUAUCCCAUCAAGGCCCCCAAGCUGCCUGGUGGCUAUGGACUGCCCUACACCACAGGGAAACUGCCCUAUGGCUAUGGGCCUGGAGGAGUGGCUGCUGCAGCGGGCAAGGCUGGUUACCCAACAGGGACAGGGGUUGGCCCCCAGGCAGCAGCAGCAGCGGCAGCUAAAGCGGCAGCAAAGUUUGGUGCUGGAGCAGCCGGAGUCCUCCCUGGUGUUGGAGGGGCCGGUGUUCCUGGUGUGCCUGGGGCAAUUCCUGGAAUCGGAGGCAUCGCAGGUAACAUCUGUCCCAGCAGGGGGCGGGUGUGUCCUUGAGAUGGCCACAGGGCAAGGACCUCACCCUCUGUGGCUGUGUUUUCAGGCGUUGGGACUCCAGCUGCAGCUGCAGCUGCAGCAGCAGCCGCUAAGGCAGCCAAGUAUGGUGAGUGCCUCCCAGGGUGGCAAGUCCAUGGCUCAGGCCCCUGCAUAGACCUCGGAGACCCUAGCCCUAAAGCCAGAUGGCCUUGGCCUUUGUCCCUUCCCAAAUAUGCACUGUUCAUGCCUCCUUAUCUUUGCUCCUUCUGAUCACUCUACCUGAGAUGCUGUCUCUAUUGUUUUGCCCUGAGGAGGGGACCCUGCAGAGGGGACCUGGCUCCUCCCACUCCAUCCCCUCCAGGGCGG
rnacentral:sRNA from 1 species